CUGUUGCCGGCCUGGGUCACGUGAUUUCCGGCGCGAGCCGCGGUCUCCGCGAACUGUCCCGGAAUCGUCGGGAAAAAGAAACGCUUCAUGUCGUCUUUAAGUUCUAGAUUAUAUAAUCGAUCCUUUCCAACACGGGACGCGCCUCAGGGCGGCUGAGGUGCCCUGGGUGGUCAUGGGCUAGCGUGCUGGUCCCGCCUGUUCCCUCUUCCUGUCGCAGACCUGUAGGAAAGCACAGUCCAGAAGCCUGCUAAGUGGCGGCUUGCUCCGACGAUCAUCGGGAAUGCUUUUGCGACCCGCAGGCGGGGGUGAUACCCCGCUCUCUUCGGCCUGAUUGCUGAAAAGAAAGAUGGUGAUUUUGUCCCAGCGGGGGGCAGAGAACAGCAAAGAGCAGCUGAAAGAAGAAUCCAGCGCUGCCCUGCCGAAACACACUCGAUUUCAGCUGAAAAGGUCACUGCCCACAUGAUUGCAUCACCACGGCCGCUGAAGGCGUGAGGCUGUGACCGGCUGGCUGCUUUUAUCAAGGGUGAGGCAUUUCAAGUGAAAACAACCAAAGAAAGCCGAGUAUAGAUAUGCUGAAAUGUAAGAAGUGGGAAAACAAAAAGGUCUUCUUUUUUUUAUUUUUUUAUUUAAUUAAACGUUUUCUCCAUUGUUUGCACAUUUUGCUAUUCCAGAAGUGUAGCUUUUUAAAUUGCUUCUUCUGUCAAUUCUUAUUUGUUGUAAGUCAGGCGCUCACAGUGCUGAAGAGAAAGUCCAUUUAUAAAAUGUUCUUUCAAUAAGCACUUUUCCAGGGUCACAUAAUAGGAUUCCAGACAUUUCCCCAUUGUUAUGUUUUAUAUUUGUGCAGGUGCUUGGAAGGUUUCUGAGGAAUUCCUACCAAGUACUUUAACUGGAAAUGUGGCUGUUCUGUUGUAUAAGGACUCCUGAUCCACACAAAACAAAUGAACUUGAUGAUUUCAAUAUUCAGCCCUGUGUGGUAAUACUGUUCCAAGUUAAAAAUCCAAGUCAGGGUUGUUCAGUUUGGUUUCUGCUAGCUAAGUUGGAAAAAGUCUAUGAAAUAGGUCAGCACCUUUUUCUGUUGGCAGGUACCAGGUGACAAACUCAGUGUUGAUCCAGGGUUAGAGUUUUGUUAGAGGUUUUCCUUUUGCCAUUGUCUCUGGUUAGCAGUAUUUACCUAUCAACUGUUAAAAACCCAAGUGCCUCAAAAUAACUCUAUUUAAAAGGCUUUGUUUCCCUGGAUAUUUGUGUCUUGCCCAAAAAUUAUGAAAGAGAGAAUUAAUAUUUCCCAGCAGGGAAUAGGAUUUGCUAAAAUGUCACCACCAAUCUCUUAAUUAGCCCCUCAAAAUACCAUGUUGUCUUUUGGUCCUCAGUGGGAAAGAAUUGAAAUGAGUUGAAAUGAAAUGGAGCUUUUUUCUUAAAUAACAAAAGCAAAUAUGUCCUAAACAACAAAAAUCACAAUUGCAAAGUCAGAGGUCAUGUGGGAGAUCUUUUACAAAAGCUGCACUUUGAAAUAUCAACUGACUUAGAAAAUUGAAAAUUGAUGGAAAUAAGAGUAAAUGAAAUUCUUAGAAAAGGAUUUAUGUUUUCAUUAAAACUAAACUUUUUGAUUAAUAUGGGUAAAAAAGGGAAAUCUUUCUCUUAGUGGUCUAUAAGAUGUGUUGAUUCCACCUGUUAAUGUAUUAAUUUAUGUAAAGUUAGGCCUGAAACCUCUUUCCUGUAUUUUCAAUAUAUUUUUUCCAAUCU